CUUUAGCAGUCCGCCCCUUCGGGGAGCGGGUUGCUGGCCUCCUAUGUUCCUAACGGUCCUCAUCCGCGAGGGUGGGGAAUCAACCGCUAGGAUCGUUUACUUUGAGGAAAUUAGAGUGUUCAAAGCAGGCGUAACUCGCCUCCGAAUACGUUAGCAUGGGAUAAUGGAAUACGACUUCGGUCUUGUUUCGUUGGUUUCGCUUGGCUGAAGUAAUGAUUGAUAGGGACAGUUGGGGGCAUUAGUAUUUAGUUGUCAGAGGUGAAAUUCUAGGAUUUACUAAAGACUGACCAAUGCGAAAGCAUUUGCCAAGGAUGUUUUCAUUAAUCAAGAACGAAAGUAGGGGGAUCGAAGACGAUCAGAUACCGUCGUAGUCUCUACCGUAAACUAUGCCGACCAGGGAUCCGGAGAGUUUGCAUGGAUGACUCCCCGGGCACCUUGUGAGAAAUCAUAAGUGUUUGGGUUUUGGGGGGAGUAUGGUCGCAAGGCUGAAACUUAAAGGAAUUGACGGAAGGGCACCACCAGGAGUGGAACCUGCGGCUUAAUUUGACUCAUCACGGGGAAACUUACGAGGUCAGGACACUGUGAGGAUUGA
rnacentral:rRNA from 1 species